CGGCAUGCCUAACACAUGCAAGUCGAACGAGACCUUCGGGUCUAGUGGCGCACGGGUGCGUAACGCGUGGGAAUCUGCCCUUGGGUUCGGAAUAACAGUUGAAAUGACUGCUAAUACCGGAUAAUGUCUUCGGACCAAAGAUUUAUCGCCCAGGGAUGAGCCCGCGUAGGAUUAGCUAGUUGGUGAGGUAAAGGCUCACCAAGGCGACGAUCCUUAGCUGGUCUGAGAGGAUGAUCAGCCACACUGGGACUGAGACACGGCCCAGACUCCUACGGGAGGCAGCAGUGGGGAAUAUUGGACAAUGGGCGAAAGCCUGAUCCAGCAAUGCCGCGUGAGUGAUGAAGGCCUUAGGGUUGUAAAGCUCUUUUACCCGGGAUGAUAAUGACAGUACCGGGAGAAUAAGCCCCGGCUAACUCCGUG
rnacentral:rRNA from 1 species